rnacentral:lncRNA from 1 species
ACCUCUUCCUUCCUUCUCCACUUUAUAUCCAUGCCCAGAUCUGAUAGAGAUCAGAUCUAAGAGAGAAAAAGAGAGAGAAGAAGAGAAGAAGAUAGGUUCUUCUUCUCUUCAUGAUGAUCUGGUUCAGAUCCCGUCAGAUCUACGCGAAAGAGUUCACACAGCGAUCUGCUUCUUCAAGAUCUGAAAGAAGAGAUCAAGAUCCAUGGAUGAGGAGCAAGACCUGCAAGGUGCUAGCACACCGAAGAUCUUGAUGCUUCGAUCAGAUAGUUUCAUGUGGAUACCAGCAA